rnacentral:rRNA from 1 species
AUUGAACGCUGGCGGCAGGCUUAACACAUGCAAGUCGAGCGGGGUGAUGGUGCUUGCACUAUCACUUAGCGGCGGACGGGUGAGUAAUGCUUAGGAAUCUGCCUAUUAGUGGGGGACAACAUUCCGAAAGGAAUGCUAAUACCGCAUACGCCCUACGGGGGAAAGCAGGGGAUCUUCGGACCUUGCGCUAAUAGAUGAGCCUAAGUCGGAUUAGCUAGUUGGUGGGGUAAAGGCCUACCAAGGCGACGAUCUGUAGCGGGUCUGAGAGGAUGAUCCGCCACACUGGGACUGAGACACGGCCCAGACUCCUACGGGAGGCAGCAGUGGGGAAUAUUGGACAAUGGGCGGAAGCCUGAUCCAGCCAUGCCGCGUGUGUGAAGAAGGCCUUUUGGUUGUAAAGCACUUUAAGCGAGGAGGAGGCUACUUAGAUUAAUACUCUGGGAUAGUGGACGUUACUCGCAGAAUAAGCACCGGCUAACUCUGUGCCAGCCGCCGCGGUAAGAC